rnacentral:misc_RNA from 1 species
AGAAUGGCUGAGUGGUUAA